UUUAAACCAUUGAUAAGGAAUAGUAAUUAAUAGUAAUAACUUCAAAGAGAAUUAGGGGUGGUGAGAUCCUAAUAAGUUUGAUAUUAAUGAAUGGCCCUUUGAGGUAUUAGAUGAACUCUUUUUAAAGAUAGUAGUUAAGAUCGUAAGCUACACGUUACAGUAGAUAGGAUAUAUUUGUAUCUGAAAAAAGAGGCAUAUUUUAUAUGCAAUCUAGGUGGUACCGCGGAUUAUAUCCGUCCUAUAA
rnacentral:ncRNA from 1 species